UGGCAUAGCCACCAAACUGCGUGGAAUAAAUGGUCAUCCCUUGUCUCUCUUCAAUCUUAAUGCUUUCAUCACUAGGACAGGGAGGACUGGCUUGAAAUUGGUUCGGGAUUCGCAGAUAGACCUUCACUUUCUGCUGUAAGGAACCAUCUGCAGCAGGAAAAGCAGUGAUGGAGACAGGAGCAGUCAUGCCCAUUCCAGUGCCUUUGUCAUUGCUUCCUCCAACAUACUUGAGGAGCUUCAGCGCUGCUUCCUUCGAGGCUUCGUCGAAGGGCUUCCCCGUCACCUCCACCACAGCAAACUGCCCGCCUUCACACUCCCUCUCCUCGUAGCUGAGCUGCUCCUUCUCCCCCUUGCUCAGCACCCGGUAGGGCCACGUCUCCACCGUGCUCAGCAGGGAGUUCUUGAUCAUGCCCAACAUGUUGCCGUCUGGCCCGGCCCGGUCCGGCCCGUCACGCCCCGGGCGAAGUGGGAGGGCCCGCGGGCGUUGCGCCGCCCGCAUCGC
rnacentral:lncRNA from 1 species